rnacentral:rRNA from 1 species
GACGAACCGUCCAAACGUUAUUCGGAAUUACUGGGCUUAAAGGGUGCGUAGGCGGCGCGGAAAGUUGGGUGUGAAAUCCCUCGGCUCAACCGAGGAACUGCGCCCAAUACUACCGUGCUUGAGGGAGAUAGAGGUGAGCGGAACUUAGGGUGGAGCGGUGAAAUGCGUUGAUAUCCUAAGGAACACCGGUGGCGAAAGCGGCUCACUGGAUCUCUUCUGACGCUGAGGCACGAAAGCGUGGGGAGCAAACAGG